rnacentral:rRNA from 1 species
AUUGAACACUGGCGGCAUGCCUUACACAUGCAAGUCGAACGGCAGCACGGGAGCAAUCCUGGUGGCGAGUGGCGAACGGGUGAGUAAUAUAUCGGAACGUGCCCAGUCGUGGGGGAUAACGCAGCGAAAGCUGUGCUAAUACCGCAUACGAUCUACGGAUGAAAGCGGGGGAUCGCAAGACCUUGCCGGGUUCGAGCGGCCGAUAUCAGAUGAGCUAGUUGGUGGGGUAAAGACCCACCAAGGCGACGAUCUGUAGCUGGUCUGAGAGGAGGACCAGCCACACUGGAACUGAAAAACGGUCCAGACUCCUACGGGAGGCAGCAGUGGGGAAUUUUGGACAAUGGGCGCAAGCCUGAUCCAGCAAUGCCGCGUGCAGGAUGAAGGCCUUCGGGUUGUAAACUGCUUUUGUACGGAACGAAACGGCCCUUUCUAAUACAGGGGGCUAAUGACGGUACCGUAAGAAUAAGCACCGGCUAACUACGUGCCAGCAGCCGCCGUAA